rnacentral:rRNA from 1 species
UACGGAGGGAGCUAGCGUUGUUCGGAUUUACUGGGCGUAAAGGGCGCGUAGGCGGCUUUAUAAGUUACUUGUGAAAUCUCUGGGCUUAACUCAGAGCGGCCAAGUAAUACUGUAGAGCUAGAGUGCAGAAGGGGCAACUGGAAUUCUUGGUGUAGCGGUGAAAUGCGUAGAUAUCAAGAGGAACACCUGAGGCGAAGGCGGGUUGCUGGGCUGACACUGACGCUGAUGGACGAAAGCGUGGGGAGCGAACAGG